rnacentral:rRNA from 1 species
AGUGAACGCUGGCGGUAGGCCUAACACAUGCAAGUCGAACGGCAGCACAGUAAGAGCUUGCUCUUACGGGUGGCGAGUGGCGGACGGGUGAGGAAUACAUCGGAAUCUACUUUUUCGUGGGGGAUAACGUAGGGAAACUUACGCUAAUACCGCAUACGACCUACGGGUGAAAGCAGGGGAUCUUCGGACCUUGCGCGAUUGAAUGAGCCGAUGUCGGAUUAGCUAGUUGGCGGGGUAAAGGCCCACCAAGGCGACGAUCCGUAGCUGGUCUGAGAGGAUGAUCCGCCGCACUGGAACUGAGACACGGUCCAGACUCCUACGGGAGGCAGCAGUGGGGAAUAUUGGACAAUGGGCGCAAGCCUGAUCCAGCCAUACCGCGUGGGUGAAGAAGGCCUUCGGGUUGUAAAGCCCUUUUGUUGGGAAAGAAAAGCAGCAGGUUAAUACCCCGCUGUUCUGACGGUACCCAAAGAAUAAGCACCGGCUAACUUCGUG